rnacentral:rRNA from 1 species
GAUCCUGGCUCAGGAUGAACGCUAGCGAUAGGCUUAACACAUGCAAGUCGAGGGGUAACGUGUUGGAAGCUUGCUUCCGAUGACGACGACCGGCGGAUGGGUGCGUAACGCGUAUGCAACUUGCCUCACAGCGGAGAAUAACCCGGAGAAAUCCGGACUAAUGCUCCAUACACUCUUAGGGACCCAUGUCCCUGAGAGGAAAGAUUUACCGCUGUGAGAUAGGCAUGCGUCCUA